AAGUUGCAUAAUCGAGUUGG
rnacentral:miRNA from 1 species